UGUCUUUUCAUAUGCAGGGAAGGGGGAUGGAUUGUCUGCUGUUCCUGUUUUCCCAGUCCUUUUCACUGGGUGUCCCAGCCUUACCUCAUCAAUAGUGCUAAACUGGGAUCUUCUAAACUCCUUCUAACUAAUCCCUGCUCCUAAACCUUUACAAAUAAAUGCUGGAUAUGACGGAGUAAAUAUUACAAUUAUGCGACAACAAAGUAUGCACGUUUUGUUUUAGAAAGACAGCUUUGUGAUACUCAAUGUGCUGGGAAUGAAACGUUGUUAUCGCACUUCUAUAUCUUGUUAUCAUUUUAAAGAUUAAACACUUCAGUAUUGCAAUAUAAAAUAUUUAAUUAUUUGCUGUAAAAAAAACUUUGCAAUAUACUUGUCAUAAUUUAUCUUGUUCUGAUUCAUGGACAAUGCCUGAUAAAAGUGCAGACACAAUCACUGGUUCUAGUGACCCAUUUAUAACUGCUCCUAUGUGGCUUUAUCAGAGAUGGAAACUAGGUUACAACAUGGCUGCACCAUUUGCUUUAUUGACAUUAAAACUUUACUCUUACAUUUAGCUAUUUUAAUAUUGGGAAAAAAACAUUCUUAGCUUUCAAUACAUCUUUUAUUGUUAGCUGCUUCUCAGUUCAAUACUUUUUCUUAUUUAAAAUGUAUUGCAUUUUACAUUAUUGUGAAUGAAAUAAAAAUGUUUUUCUUUGCA